rnacentral:rRNA from 1 species
AGCGAACGCUGGCAGCAGGCCUAACACAUGCAAGUCGAACGAAGUCUUCGGACUUAGUGGCGGACGGGUGAGUAACACGUGGGAACGUGCCUUUAGGUUCGGAAUAACUCAGGGAAACUUGUGCUAAUACCGAAUGUGCCCUUCGGGGGAAAGAUUUAUCGCCUUUAGAGCGGCCCGCGUCUGAUUAGCUAGUUGGUGAGGUCAAGGCUCACCAAGGCGACGAUCAGUAGCUGGUCUGAGAGGAUGAUCAGCCACAUUGGGACUGAGACACGGCCCAAACUCCUACGGGAGGCAGCAGUGGGGAAUCUUGCGCAAUGGGCGAAAGCCUGACGCAGCCAUGCCGCGUGAAUGAUGAAGGUCUUAGGAUUGUAAAAUUCUUUCACCGGGGACGAUAAUGACGGUACCCGGAGAAGAAGCCCCGGCUAACUUCGUGCCAGCCGCCGCGGUAA